GAGAGCACAAUCAAGGGAAUGUCCCAGGUCCAACUAUCGCAUUCAGCUUCCAUUCAGAAGCUUGAAGCGCAAUUCAGAGACCUUUCCCGAGAAGUGCACACUCCUCAACGGGGACAAUUACCGAGUGAUACAGUUCCUAAUCCAAAAGGUAGUGGAGUGAACUCUGUGGAGAAUGUACUUGCCAUUAGCACCAGAAGUGGAAAAAUACUUCAGGGUGCUAAUAAAAAAGUGAUUGAUCAGGAACCAAUUGUUGAAAAAGAAACGCAGCCUAAUGUAUUGGAUGAUAUUGUCGAGGUAGAAGCAGGGGAGGAAGUCCCUAUUGUAGCCGAAGAAGAGCUGAAUCUUGAUAAACCAAAGGAACCGGUGGAAAACCAUGAAAAGGGGAAGGCAAAACUUUCCGGUGCUCUUCGCCCUUUGAGCCAAUUGUUCAAAUCUUCACUGCCUUUUCCUCAAAGACUGGUGAGAAAAAUAGAAGAUGAGAAGUGCUUGCGAUUUUAUGAUCAACUCAAGCAGUUGACGAUGAAUUUUCCGUUCAUGGACGCUGUCCAAGAAAUUCCUGGCUUUGCUAAGUAUUUGAAGGAUCUUUUAACAAAGAAGAAAAAACCAUUGAAACAUGACAUUGUGGGCAUCACUCACCGCGUUAGUGCCAUUCUUUCCAAGACCACAGUGCAAAAGAGGGAAGAUCCUGGAGCAUUCACAAUUCCAUGCACCAUAGGGCAGCAAAAUUUUGCCAGGGCUUUAUGUGAUAACGGGGCUAACAUAAAUCUUAUGCCCUUGGAAAUUUUUAAGAGAUCAGGGUUAGCGAUGCCGAGGCCAACUACCAUGAGGUUGCAGAUAGCUGACAGAUCGAUAAAAAGGUCAGUGGAGGUAGUUGAUGAUGUGCUGGUUCAAAUCGGGAAAUUUCUACUGCCGGCAGAUUUCGUGAUUCUUGAUUGUGCUAUUGAUCAAGAAAUUCCUAUUAUUAUGGGAAGACCUUUCCUUGCCACAGGGAGGGCUCUUAUGGAUUCCGAGAAGCACGAAAUAAAGUUCCGGGUGAACGAUGAGGAGGUGACUUUCCACGCAAGCAGAGUUAUGAAAUUACCUAGUCCUUAUCAAAGUAUUUCAGUCAUCAAUUCUGUUGAUGAGGUGGAUGAAGCUGUGGAAUUCAAAAUGGAGGAAGAAUGUUUGAGUGAAGCACUAUCGGCCAUCUUGGUAAAUUUUGAUGCUGAACAAAUGGAGGGAUAUACUGAGACAGAAAAUGCACUCAUCGGUCUGGGGUCUUACUCUUAUGAGCCCAAGAAACUAUCUCUUGAUUUAGAGACACGAACAACUCCUCCAGCAAAACCAUCGAUUAUUGAGCCACCGAAGUUGGAUCUCAAGCAACUUCCAUCUCAUCUUAAAUAUGUGUUUCUUGAAACGAAUGCCACCCUCCCAAUCAUUGUGUCAUCACUUCUGAAUGAGGGCUAAAUCCAAAGACUCAUCGCAGUAUUGAGAAAGCAUUUAAGAGCUUUGGGAUGGACUACGAAGAAGUUUUCUAAUGAUUUUUGAUAAAAUGCUCAACCUUAAAGAUUGUCUACAUAGUACAUACUCAGCGGGACGAGCCCAGCUCUUUUGUAUAGAUAAUGCUGAAUUAUACAGCAAAGUGGGAGUGCCUUUUGUGAUGGGAACAACUGGUGGAGAUAGGGAAAAGCUGUACAAAACAGUGGCAGACUCAAAAGUUGAUGCUGUGAUCUCCCCACAAAUGGGAAAGCAG